rnacentral:rRNA from 1 species
GGGGGAAUAUUGGACAAUGGGCGAAAGCCUGAUCCAGCGACGCCGCGUGGGUGAAGAAGGCCUGCGGGUUGUAAAGCCCUUUCGGUAGGGACGAAAGCCUCCGACCUAACACGUCGGGGGGUUGACUUAACCUACAAAAGAAGCACCGGCUAACUCUGUGCCAGCAGCCGCGGUAAUACAGAGGGUGCGAGCGUUAAUCGGAAUUACUGGGCGUAAAGCGCGCGUAGGCGGCUUGGUAUGUCGGGUGUGAAAUCCCCGGGCUCAACCUGGGAACUGCAUCCGAAACUGCCUUGCUAGAGUAUGGGAGAGGGAAGUGGAAUUUCCGGUGUAGCAGUGAAAUGCCUAGAUAUCGGAAGGAACAUCAGUGGCGAAGGCGACUUCCUGGACCAAUACUGACGCUCAAGUGCGAAAGCGUGGGGAGCAAACAGGAUUAGAUACCCUGGUAGUCCACGCCCUAAACGAUGACAACUGGAUGUCGGGAGGGUUUGCCUUCCGGUGUCGUAGCUAACGCGUUAAGUUGUCCGCCUGGGAAGUACGGCCGCAAGGUUG